GAAAUGCGAUAAGUAAUGUGAAUUGCAGAAUUCAGUGAAUCAUCGAAUCUUUGAACGCACAUUGCGCCCGGCAGCAAUCUGCCGGGCAUGCCUGUCCGAGCGUCAUUUCUGCCCUCGAGCGCGGUUCGGCCGCCCCAGCGGGGCCGGCCGCCGCCCGGUGUUGGGGCGCUGCGGGCCCUCGUGCCCGCAGGCCCUGAAAUGAAGUGGCGGUCCCGCCGCGGCGCCCCCUGCGUAGUAGUAAAGCACCUCGCAUCGGGUCCCGGCGGAGGCCAGCCGUCGAACCUCUCUCUCUUGAUGGUUUGACCUCGGAUCAGGUAGGGUUACCCGCUGAACUUAAGC
rnacentral:misc_RNA from 1 species